rnacentral:lncRNA from 1 species
AUUGCCACAUGUCAUGUUAUAUAUCAAUACAGUUUCAUUUACUUUGGUGCACUACUCUCUGAGAAAAUGCUGAUUUUAUGCAUUUUUCCAUAGGGUCAAUGCAAAACUUGGCCCCAGUUUCCAUGACAACGGCGGCCAUUUUGAACUAUCCAUAUAUUGUCUUGACAUCUUGGCAUACUGGAGAACAUUUUCAUAAAGUUUCAUCCAGUUGGAUCUUAUAACGAAAGAGUUAGAAUUUUUGAUAUUUUAGCUGUUUCCAUGGUAACGGCAGCCAUUUUGAAAAUUCCAAAGUCAAACUGGAAAUCAGCACAUGCCAGUUAACAUUCCUGUGGAGUUUCUUCCAGUUUGGACCACUUUGAUUUUUUUCGCAUUUGUGCUGUUUCCAUGGAAACGGCGGCCAUCUUUUACCAUUCCAUAGCAAGGUGCACAACUUCAAAUGGGGGUCCUCAUUAUGUUAUAGUUCCAACAACAUUGGAUCACUCAAUUCUUAGAAACACGAUGGACAAAAUGUGUGGAAGAAUAAUAAAAAUAAUAAGAAAAAAAAGAAACGUAGAAUAACAAUAUGUCACCCCAACUCCGUUGAGGGUGCCAUAACUAGAUUUGCGAUUGCAAGCAAUAGCGGAUGGCACCCUUUCCCUAUUGCCAGGUGAGCGGUAGCCAUGGUAACGGCGGCCAUUUUGAAAAUUCCAAACUCAAAAGUCAAGUCUACAUUAGCUAAGCAACAUUUGUUAUAAGUUUCAAUAAAUUUGAAGCAUUUUGAAGUUUUUCGUAUUUUUGCUGUUUCCAUGGUAACGGCGGCCAUUUUGAAAAUUCCAAAGUCAACCUGCUCCUGCAAUUUGUUCUCACCAUAAUUAUAUACCAUCAUUUAACAUAAAAUGUCUCUAGAAUAAAUUUAACAUUGAUGUUCUGGAAUGUUCUAUGUUAAACAUUUCGCCUUGUUUCCAUGGCAAUGGCAGCCAUUUCGGAAUUUCUAAGUAUUGUUGGUACCUCGGGGCCCCACCACCAACAUUUGCAAAAAGUUUCAUAAGGUUGGCUCUUAUAACGAAAGAGUUAGAAUUUUUAUUUUUUUUUACAUUUUUUGAGUUUCCAUGGUAACCGCGGCCAUCUUGCACAUUCCAAAGUCAGGUGCACAACUUCACAUGGUGGACAACAUUAUAGCAUAGUUCCAUCAAGAUUGGUCCAUCCAAUUCCGAGAACUGUCUUGGACAAAAAAGUGUGGAAGAAUAAAAAUAAUAAAAAUAAUAAGAAAAAAAAGAAACGAACAAUAACAAUAUGUCACCCCAACUCCGUUGAGGGUGCCAUAACUAGAUUUGUAAUUGCUAGCAAUAACGGAUGGCACCCUCGUCCCCCCAUUGCCAGGCGAGCGGCAGCCAUUUUGAAAAUUUCAAA